AUUUGUAGCUUGCGAAAGAGAGACAGGCUGAGGUAGAGAAACUAAGGGAAAAAGAGCAGGAGAAAACUAAAAAAAUCAAUUCUACCAGAGAGUUGAAAGUAUUCAAAAGUGGUGUUGCCAAAUAUGUAGAUCCUAAUGCAACUAAGAGGCUCGAAAAAGAUGAUACCGAUGUGGAGUCAGUUACACAGAGGAAAAAAUCAUUUAAUUCUUUCAACAAUUUUAAUGGCUGGUGAAGAAUGAAGACAUUGGUAAAGGUAUUACAUGUGUUUAUAUAUAACCCUAGGAUAUAGAAAAAUGUAUAUAAGAUAAUAAAAUAUGAAAUUUGAAAAUCCUUUUUUCUUGUAUAAAAUAGUGUAUUAUAUAUUAAGGCAAUGUACUUGUAUUGACUUCAAUUUCAAUUCCCAACAUAAAGAAGAAAUGUGGUUUUAUGUUUCAGGCCAAACAAUUCAGAAAGAUCAGAAAUAAUUCUUAACAUUCGAAACAUACCCUUCACCAAAUCUGAAUUGAUUUUUAUAUGUUUAGGAUCAAAUAAAUAGAGAAUUGUUGAGAGAUCAAACAUCUAUACCAAAUUCAACCAAUAUUAGUCAGUGUAUCUAUAGAAAUUUGUUUAUAAGUUGGAAUUGAAAAUACCUAGCUUGUUCAAAACAGAGUAGUUUGGUUUUUCAAGUUCCAUGUGAUGCACUACAUAAUUGAAUUGAUAAUAAUAUAAUAGAUAUACCAGGUGGCAAAAAUUGUAUUUACACUAUUGCUAUCUUGGUAAUGUUUUGGAUGUUUUCCGGGUUUUGCAGUGGUCUUCUUUGGUUUCAAUCUCCAAACCCGGAUACCAUCCAAAACAUUGAUGCCAACUGUGAAAGCCUUUCCUAUGUCUCGAUAAUAUUGGAAGAUAUGAUGUUGGUUAAAUUAAACAAAGAAUGUACUUUUUAGAAUGAAAUGAAAUUAUUUUGAAAAAUCUAGACUAUUGUGAGACGUUCUCGAAAUUAUCGAAAAAAAAAAGAAAUUGUUAAUUUAAAUUUUUCUGCUUUGCAAUCUCUAUUAUAUAGAAUAUGUAAAAAUGUAUGAAGUUUUAUGAUUAAAAUUGAAUGAAAGCUGCAA